rnacentral:misc_RNA from 1 species
AACUGAGAGGUCUAAGGACUCAAGUUGUGCCAAUUUGCCUAAAAAUGGCGGAAUUCGGCCAGUGAGAGCAUUGUGUGACAAGUUGAGAGUAUAGAGCGCACUGAAUUGGCCAAUAACGUCUGGUAUUGGUCCUACAAAAUGGUUGUAAGAGAAGUCAAUGGACGUAAAAAUAGUUAGGAUCUUCACCAGCUCCAUCUGCUGACCUUUGGUCGUAACUGUUAUUGAAUCUUGAUAA